rnacentral:rRNA from 1 species
CCCUUCUGUACGUAUGCCUCUAACUCAGCAUCAUGUUUAUAAUAUGAUGCGAAGGUGACAAAAUGAAAUUGAAACAAGUACAACUACUUCGUUCUCAUUCACUUACACUGUUUCUGUAUCUAUCGAAUUGUCGAUAUGAUGCUGGGGACCGUGCUUGGUGGGGAGUUUAACUGGGCGGUUGCCGCCUAAAACGUAACGGAGGCGCACAAAGGUAGGCUAGGUCCGGAUGGAAAUCGGACUGGUCGUGUAUUCGCACAAGCCUGCUUGACUGAGAGACCUACAAGUCGAUCAGAGACGAAAGUCGGUGAAAGUGAUCCGGCACCAACAUGUGGGAGUGGUGUCGCGCAACGGAUAAAAGUUA